rnacentral:rRNA from 1 species
CCCUUAGAUGUUCUGGGCCGCACGCGCGCUACACUGACAGAGCCAACGAGUUCUUCACCUUGGCCGGAAGGUCUGGGUAAUCUUGUUAAACUCUGUCGUGCUGGGGAUAGAGCAUUGCAAUUAUUGCUCUUCAACGAGGAAUGCCUAGUAAGCGCGUGUCAUCAGCACGCGUUGAUUACGUCCCUGCCCUUUGUACACACCGCCCGUCGCUACUACCGAUUGAAUGGCUCAGUGAGGCCUUCGGACUGGCUCAGGGAGGUUGGCAACGACCACCCCGAGCCGGAAAGUUCGUCAAACUCGGUCAUUUAGAGGAAGGAGAAGUCGUAACA